rnacentral:rRNA from 1 species
UACGGAAGGUCCGAGCGUUAUCCGGAUUUAUUGGGUUUAAAGGGAGCGCAGGCGGAAUGUUAAGUCAGCUGUGAAAUCCCGUCGCUCAACGGCGGAACUGCAGUUGAUACUGGCUUUCUUGAGUGCACAUAAGGAUGGUGGAAUUCGUGGUGUAGCGGUGAAAUGCUUAGAUAUCACGAAGAACUCCGAUUGCGAAGGCAGCCAUCUGGGGUGCAACUGACGCUGAGGCUCGAAAGUGCGGGUAU